AUUGAACGCUGGCGGCAGGCCUAACGCAUGCAAGUCGAGCGGAUGAAGGGAGCUUGCUCCUGGAUUCAGCGGCGGACGGGUGAGUAAUGCCUAGGAAUCUGCCUGGUAGUGGGGGAUAACGUCCGGAAACGGGCGCUAAUACCGCAUACGUCCUGAGGGAGAAAGUGGGGGAUCUUCGGACCUCACGCUAUCAGAUGAGCCUAGGUCGGAUUAGCUAGUUGGUGGGGUAAAGGCCUACCAAGGCGACGAUCCGUAACUGGUCUGAGAGGAUGAUCAGUCACACUGGAACUGAGACACGGUCCAGACUCCUACGGGAGGCAGCAGUGGGGAAUAUUGGACAAUGGGCGAAAGCCUGAUCCAGCCAUGCCGCGUGUGUGAAGAAGGUCUUCGGAUUGUAAAGCACUUAAAGUUGGGAGGAAGGGCAGUAAGUUAAUACCUUGCUGUUUUGACGUUACCAACAGAAUAAGCACCGGCUAACUUCGUG
rnacentral:rRNA from 1 species